UUCUGUGGCUUAGUUGGUUAAAGCGCCGGUCUAGCGAAUACGGAGUCGUGGGUUCGAAUCCCACCAGAA
rfam:Aedes albopictus isolate Foshan contig24805, whole genome shotgun sequence.